rnacentral:rRNA from 1 species
CGGAACGAGCUAAUACCGGAUAAUAUAUUGAACCGCAUGGUUCAAUAGUGAAAGACGGUUUUGCUGUCACUUAUAGAUGGAUCCGCGCCGCAUUAGCUAGUUGGUAAGGUAACGGCUUACCAAGGCAACGAUGCGUAGCCGACCUGAGAGGGUGAUCGGCCACACUGGAACUGAGACACGGUCCAG